rnacentral:rRNA from 1 species
UACGUAGGGCGCAAGCGUUAUCCGGAAUUAUUGGGCGUAAAGAGCUCGUAGGCGGUUUGUCGCGUCUGCCGUGAAAGUCCGGGGCUCAACUCCGGAUCUGCGGUGGGUACGGGCAGACUAGAGUGAUGUAGGGGAGACUGGAAUUCCUGGUGUAGCGGUGAAAUGCGCAGAUAUCAGGAGGAACACCGAUGGCGAAGGCAGGUCUCUGGGCCGAUACUGACGCUGAGGAGCGAAAGCGUUGGGGGAGCGAACAGG